rnacentral:rRNA from 1 species
GUAGGGAAUAUUGGGCAAUGGAUGCAAGUCUGACCCAGCCAUCCCGCGUGCCGGAAGAAGGCCCUCAGGGUUGUAAACGGCUUUUGACGGUGAAGAAUCGACAGGAUGCGUCCUGUUUUGACGGUAGCCGUUGAAUGAGCACCGGCUAACUCCGUGCCAGCAGCCGCGGUAAUACGGAGGGUGCGAGCGUGGUCCGGAUUUAUUGGGUUUAAAGGGUGCGGAGGCUGGUAGGUCAGUCAGCGGUGAUAAGCUGUCGCUUAACGAUAGUCUUGCCGCAGAUACUUCCUUUCUUGGAUGAGGAGGAGGCCACUGGAACGGAUGGUGUAGCGGUGAAAUGCAUAGAUAUCAUCCAGAACACCGAUUGCGAAGGCAGGUGGCUGUACCUUAAUCGACGCUGAUGCACGAAAGCAUGGGGAGCAAACAGGAUUAGAAACCCCUGUAGUCC